UUGACUCUGGGGAAGUAGAAGACAUGAAUUUUUCCACAGAAUAGAUUCAGGACAGGCAACAGUGAUGCAAACCUCUCCAUGCUACCCCCACAUCUCUCUAAACCCUGACCUGGAAGGACCCAUCUCUAGGGAUGAGAGGGCUGCUAAUUUUCAAGUCUCUCAAUUCUUAGCCUUU
rnacentral:sRNA from 1 species